ensembl:lncRNA
GAUACCUGGACAACACGUGGAAGGUCCCUCUUCGUGCACAGGAGGGGGAAGGCUCAGGCCAGGUGAUCCAGCGUGUCCGUCGCUCCUGGCUGGCGGACUACCUGGGCGACGUGUGGUUUCACUUCUCGGAGAGCUUCCCCAUCGCCGUCCUGUACAUCUUCCCCGUCACCGUGCUGAUCCUGCUCUUCCUCUGCUGCUUCACGGUAGGUAUGGAGUGAGGCGACCUGGAGGACUCUGAGAGAAGCAGCGUGGCUACACUGAGAGAGAUUCUGGUGCCUCGAUGGAGCUCAGCUCAGAGAAGCCUCCGAAACUCCAGGAGCCCCGAAGCGGUGUGGAAGGGCCAGGAGCAGAACCACCUUUCUCUUCCUUUCAGAUGAUUUUAAAGAUUCUCCCGGACAGAAUCUGCCACCCCCAAAUGAAGUUCAGACUUCACCUGAGGCUCUGCUGUCUGAGUUACGGCCAGAACGCAAGAGGUUCAUUGGGGUUCGUAGAAUCGUUAGGGUUGGAAAAGACCCCUCAGAUCCCCAAGUCCAACCCCAGCCCGUCCCACCGUGCCCACCGCAUCCCCACUGUUCUGGAGCACCUCCAGAGAUGAUGACCCCACUGCCCCCCGUGCAGCUGUGCCAAGGCAUCACUGCUCUUUCAGAGAAGCUUUCCCUGAUAUCCAACCUGAACCUCCCCCGGUGCAUCCUGAGGCCGUCACCUCUCAUCCUACUGCUGUUACUCGGGAGAAGAGGCCGACCCUCACCUCACUACAAGCUCAUUUCUGGGAGCUGGAGAGAGCAAAGCAUAGAAUCACAGAAUUGCUCAGGUUGGAAAAGACCUUCGAGAUCAUUGAGUCCAAGCUCAACCCAACCAUACCACCCUAACCCGAACAACCCGCUGCUAAAUGAUGUCCCUGAGCACCACAUCCAGAUGGUUUGCAUCCAGAAGAUCCAGGUUAAUGCCCUGUUGGCCUUUGCAUGUGGUGCAAACGGGGAGUUUAACUCGUAUUUAAGGCUCUGGAGGCCUUUGGUUUGGGCAGCAGUUGAAUCCGAGGUUUCAUGGCAGUAGCGGUGUUCGAUGCUUUGUUAGGGCAAUCAUUUCACGUGGCUGGAGGAAUUUUGGGGCAGUGUAAUUGCUGGGCGGUGUGUGAGGUGGAAGAACAGCCAAAGAGGGACGGCACUGUGCUGACUGCGGCUGCUGGCUCACCUCCCGCUUGGUAAGCCCACGGAUAACGACUCAUCUGGGGCACAACCCUCAGGCCCGCGCGCCCCUCGAGGCCGCCGCGCAGGCCGCCCC